CCUGUAACGAUUUCUUUUUUUUUUUCUUUAUUCACCCAUUUCUUCUUUUUUCACCACUACUUUUUACUCAAUUUUGUCCCUCUUUGUUCCUUUCAGGUUUUCACCCGCACAUUGGUAUGUUCUCAUUCCCAUUUCCAGUGGACAUAGUGAGAGAGAGAAAGGAUCGGAGACAGGACGAUGGAUUUUUCGACGCGACAACGAGAUUGAGUGUAUGGCAAGGGAAAAGAGUUGAACGAAAAAAAAAAGGGGGAAAAUAGUGGAAAAGUAGUGGACACUUCCGCCUCACACUGACAUCCUGAUGCCAGUUCCAUGAUGUCAUUUCCCCAACAACGCUGGGGACCACCGGUUUUUCUACCUUUUUUACGGGACUGGGUUUCCUCGGUUAUGACGUGGCUCCACGGUGGAAUCAAACUGGAGAUAAUUCCCAGCCCCAAGGAAAGCCGGGGAAUAUCAGUCAAUAAAUAAUGGCUUACGAUUCGCUGGAAUUCGGGUGAUGGAAGUUUCACUCGGUAUUUAUGGUCUCCUGGCGCAUACAGAUGCUCAAAUACAACUCUCCUGAAUCGCUGACGUUCUUAUUAUCGUCUCGGAGUAACGGGUGGGCCUUUGCAGGCUGUAGAAAUUCUGGAAAAGUUCAAUCCAACUCCGGUGGGGUAGAAUUGCCACCAAUACAUGGAUUCCGCGUCCGAGAUAUCCUGCAGAAUCAACACUACAGCCUCUCACUCCAGGUCGGAAGCUUUACGUGAUGCAGUGGAUACUCCAGGUUCCAUCAAUUUUUAAUGGGAAAAGACGUUCAUGCCAAUAAUCCCUCGAUGUCCCCCGACGGCCAUAAAAAUCCACGGAACGGUACCUCCUCUUUCUCCCUAUUAAUAGUGAUGUUGAAAGCACUAAACCGUCAGAAGUGUAUUACUACGGUAUCGAUGUGAGCAGAAAAUAUCUGAGUAUGAAAUUCAAUGAUUACGUACGAGUGGACGGAGAUCCCACUGGUGUGGAUAUCACCGUAACUUGGUUGAAGGAUAUCACCAGAUCGGCCGACAUGGAGAUCUUUUACAUAGUUCAAACGACGAAGGGCGAGGAGAUUGCAUCGAAAUUCUUCGAUUUACCAAGCCUGUGCAGUGAACGUUACUCAUACAACAGCUGGGAUGGCAAUAUCAUGGAAAUUUAUACUCGAGAAAUGACGAACCUCGGAUGCCCCAUCAAAUCGGAAACUAUGAUCAACCCACUUGCAAAAUUCACCAUCUUCCUGACAUUUAAUCAUAAAAUUCCGUGCACAACCCUGCAAUUUAUUAUGGACCUCUACCCCGUCGGCGAACCCGACUCCACAGUAUUUCUCCUCUUGGAGGGUGAUGUACAUUCGUACCAUGGUUGUUGAGGUGAAGGCCCUCCCUCUCGUUCCUCCCCUGUCUCUCUCACACGCAAAAAAAUACCGUCCAGAUACUCGUGACAAUUAUAUUUCCAUGUUAAGGUUAUAGCUUCAAAUUAAUUGAAGCGAAUAAUUUGAAUAAAUUUACAUAAUUGCUUCGCGUUUACUUAACUGAAAGCAAUUCACCUGAAUUCAA